rnacentral:rRNA from 1 species
CAAUAGCGUAUAUUAAAGCUGUUGCGGUUAAAAAGCUCGUAGUUGGAUUUCUGUCAAGGACAACUGGUCCGCCCUCCGGGUGAGCACAUAGUUUGGUCUUGGCAUCUUGCUGGAAACUGUUGCUGCGUUUGGUUGUGUGGUGCAGCUUUCAGCACUUUCACUUUGAGGAAAUUGGAGUGUUUCAAGCAGGCACAUGCCUUUGGACACAGUAGCAUGGAAUAAUUAGAUUGGGCUUUUGCUCCAACUUGUUGGUUCCUGGAGCUGAGGUGAGAAUCAAUGGGGAUUGUUGGGGGCAUCCGAAUUUAGCCGUCAGAGGUGAAAUUCUUGGAUCUGCUAAAGACGGACAACUGCGAAAGCGUUUGCCCAGGAUGUUUUCAUUGA